rnacentral:rRNA from 1 species
AUUGAACGCUGGCGGCAGGCCUAACACAUGCAAGUCGAGCGAGCGGCGGACGGGUGUGGAAUGUAUGGGGACUCCCCGAUAGAGAGGGAUAACUACUGGAAACGGUAGCUAAUAUAGCAUAUUACCGGAUUACCCAUAGGGGAUUAGCUAGUACGUGAGGUAAUGGAGCACCUAGGCGACGAUCCCUAGCUGGUCUGAGAGGAUGAGCAGCCAGACUGGGAGGGUGACACGCCCCAGACUGCUACGGAGGGAGCAGUGGGGAAUAUUGCACAAGGGGUGCGGGCCAGAUGCAGACAUGCCGAGAGUAUGAAGAAGGCCCUAGGGGUGUAAGAUAAUUUCAGUCGGAAGGCGGUACCGACAGAAGAAGCGCCGGCUAACUCCGUGCCAGCAGCCGCGGUAAUUC